UACGUAGGGCGCAAGCGUUGUCCGGAAUUAUUGGGCGUAAAGAGCUCGUAGGCGGUCUGUCGCGUCUGCCGUGAAAACCCGAGGCUUAACCUCGGGCUGGCGGUGGAUACGGGCAGACUAGAGGUAGGUAGGGGAGAAUGGAAUUCCCGGUGUAGCGGUGAAAUGCGCAGAUAUCGGGAGGAACACCGGUGGCGAAGGCGGUUCUCUGGGCCUUACCUGACGCUGAGGAGCGAAAGCGUGGGGAGCGAUCCGG
rnacentral:rRNA from 1 species